rnacentral:rRNA from 1 species
UACAGAGGUCCCAAGCGUUGUUCGGACUCACUGGGCGUAAAGGGUGCGUAGGCGGUCGGGUAAGUCUGAUGUGAAAUCUCACAGCUUAACUGUGAAACUGCAUUGGAUACUAUCCGGCUCGAGGAAUGGAGGGGAGAAUGGAAUUCCUGGUGUAGCGGUGAAAUGCGCAGAUAUCAGGAGGAACACCGGUGGCGAAGGCGGUUCUCUGGGCCUUACCUGACACUGAGGAGCGAAAGCGUGGGGAGCGAACAGG